AGAGUUUGAUCCUGGCUCAGAUUGAACGCUGGCGGCAGGCUUAACACAUGCAAGUCGAGCGGUAACAUUCCUAGCUUGCUAGGAGAUGACGAGCGGCGGACGGGUGAGUAAUGCUUGGGAAUAUGCCUUAUGGUGGGGGACAACAGUUGGAAACGACUGCUAAUACCGCAUAACGUCUACGGACCAAAGGGGGGGAUUCAUUUAUGAACCUCUCGCCAUUUGAUUAGCCCAAGUGAGAUAAGCUAGUUGGUAAGGUAAAGGCUUACCAAGGCGACGAUCUCUAGCUGGUUUGAGAGGAUGAUCAGCCACACUGGGACUGAGACACGGCCCAGACUCCUACGGGAGGCAGCAGUGGGGAAUAUUGCACAAUGGGCGAAAGCCUGAUGCAGCCAUGCCGCGUGUGUGAAGAAGGCCUUCGGGUUGUAAAGCACUUUCAGUUGUGAGGAAAGGUUAUAAUUUAAUAAAUUAUGGCUGUGACGUUAACAACAGAAGAAGCACCGGCUAACUA
rnacentral:rRNA from 1 species